UCCCUAGUGGUCUAGUGGCUAGGGUUCGGCGCUUUCACCACAGCGGCCUGGGUUCGACUCCCAGUCAGGGAG
rnacentral:tRNA from 1 species